AGGGAAGGAUUCUUCAUUCAUAUUCAAGUUAAUGGUGACUUUUAUAAGAAAAUAGCCCAGUAAUUGAAGUUGUGAUAGAACCCAUAGAUGAAAAGCAAUGAACAAUUUCAGUCUAUAGGUAGUAAGCAUCAUCCAAAUAAUCUAGGUCUCUAUUUGGGGGUCUCAAGAUAAAUCUUACAAGAAGGUAAAACAAACCAGAUACAAAGAAUAUAAUAGCCUAUAUGAUAAUUAAUGAUUAGAAGUAUACUCGGACUUUCCUUGUUGUUCAAACUAAAACCAUCAUUAUCUGUUUGAAAAUUGGAUAAGGGAGAUGGUGGUGGCAGAGGAAAAUAUAAUGGUUGUUGCGAUGUAGAAUCUAUGUCAACAUCUAGCAGUUUUUGAACUCCCUCACUGAUCCUUGGGAACUUAAUUGCCUUCCCCAUUGCUGCCGCCGCUGCUGCUGCAACCUUAUUCUAAUUCCUCCACCUCCUUUGACACCAAACCCUAGCCCAAAUUUCUAAUACAAAAUUUUCAUUUAGAACGAGAGAGAGAAAGAAAGAAAAAAUAAAGAAAGUAGGAAGAUUGCAAAAUUUUCAUUCAGAACCUUAACUACCAAUUGGGAGUGAAGAAUUAGAAACGGCUUUGCCCUCUUUUGCAAUUUUUUUUUGGUAGAAUUAAGAAAUUGAGGGUAGAUCACAAUCACCUUUCUACAAAUCGGCAUUGAGAUGGUAGAUCAGCAGUGGCACAAAGAGGAGAGAGGACUGCCUUCAACAAUGGGUUGUAAAACGAGGAAUUAGAGAGUUUGAAACAAAACUGGGUAACGAGGGAUUUGAGCUCGAC
rnacentral:lncRNA from 1 species